rnacentral:rRNA from 1 species
GGCGAACGGGUGAGUAAUACAUCGGAACGUGCCCAGUUAGUGGGGGAUAGCCCGGCGAAAGCCGGAUUAAUACCGCAUACGACCUACGGGUGAAAGCGGGGGACCGCAAGGCCUCGCGCUAUCGGAGCGGCCGAUGUCAGAUUAGGUAGUUGGUGAGGUAAAGGCUCACCAAGCCUGCGAUCUGUAGCUGGUCUGAGAGGACGACCAGCCACACUGGGACUGAGACACGGCCCAGACUCCUACGGGAGGCAGCAGUGGGGAAUUUUGGACAAUGGGCGCAAGCCUGAUCCAGCCAUGCCGCGUGCGGGAAGAAGGCCUUCGGGUUGUAAACCGCUUUUGUCAGGGAAGAAACGCCUCGGGCUAAUACCUCGAGGUAAUGACGGUACCUGAAGAAUAAGCACCGGCUAACUACGUGCCAGCAGCCGCGGUAAUACGUAGGGUGCGAGCGUUAAU